CUGCAGCUCAAGUGGUGAUCAUUAUUAUUGGGCCUAAAACGUCCGUAGCCUGUUUAGUAAAUGCCUGGGUAAAUCGUGUAGCUUAACUAUACGACUUCCGGGUAGACUGCUAAACUUGAGACCGGGAGAGGCUAGAGGUACUCCUGGGGUAGAGGUGAAAUUCUGUAAUCCUAGGGGGACCACCAGUGGCGAAGGCGUCUAGCUAGAACGGGUCUGACGGUGAGGGACGAAGCCCUGGGGCACAAACCGGAUUAGAUACCCGAGUAGUCC
rnacentral:rRNA from 1 species